AAAAAAGGUGCUGAGCCCCUGCUCCUGUCCUGCCUGGGAGGGAGUUUCAGGCUACCUCCCCACGGACCAAGGUCAAAGGGUGUCAGGUUCCUGUUUCAACAGAGCACCAGGGAUCUUUUAGACUGUGCACUAGGGAAAAACAAAAAGCAAUGUGCAAAUGAGGCAUAGAGGCAGGGGAGCUGGGAGGAGGGCUGCCCAGCUGGAGAGAGCUGAUGGGAAAAAGAAGAAAGGAUGUUAAGUAAUACACAAGGCAGGGUAAGAAGAAUAAUGGUAACAAGAAUAGCAGUCUCCGCAGCAGCUAUCAUGAAAUCAGCAGCAGCUGAUACUCAGCAUGAAUCAGGUGCAUUCCUAAACUCACCCGAUCCUCACGGCCACCCUUCAAGGAAUGAUCUGCCCCACCAUCUUGGAGUCUUGGACAGGCUGCCCUGGCCCUAGCAAGUCUUUACGCAGCAGCCAAAAUGAGCUUCUAGAAGCAUCCUUCAGUCAUGUCACUCCUCUGCCUGGCUUCCUACUAUCCUGAGAAUAAAAUCCAAACUCCCCACUUGCCUUCAAGGUACUCUGUCGUCUGGACCUGGAUCCACCCUCUGCCCCCUGUCCUCUGCUAGUCCCUGGCCACUCACAGUGUGGUCCUGCAGUGUCAACAGCCCUGAGAGCUGGUGAGAAAGGCAAGGCCAGG
rnacentral:lncRNA from 10 species